UACGUAGGGUGCAAGCGUUGUCCGGAAUUAUUGGGCGUAAAGAGCUCGUAGGCGGUUUGUCGCGUCUGCUGUGAAAACUCGGGGCUUAACCCCGGGCCUGCAGUGGGUACGGGCAGACUAGAGUGCGGUAGGGGAGACUGGAAUUCCUGGUGUAGCGGUGAAAUGCGCAGAUAUCAGGAGGAACACCGGUGGCGAAGGCGGGUCUCCGGGCCGUAACUGACGCUGAGGAGCGAAAGCGUGGGGAGCGAACAGG
rnacentral:rRNA from 1 species